rnacentral:rRNA from 1 species
GCCAGCAGCCAUAUCACCCUGCAACUCACAACUGGCAGCCCACUGAAGUUCAGCAGGAGUGACAGUUGGUCAGUGCCUGGAUGGGAGACCUCCUGGGAAAAACUAAGGCUGCUGCUG